rnacentral:rRNA from 1 species
CGGGACACGUGGUAUCCUGUCUGAAUAUGGGGGGACCAUCCUCCAAGGCUAAAUACUCCUGACUGACCGAUAGUGAACCAGUACCGUGAGGGAAAGGCGAAAAGAACCCCGGCGAGGGGAGUGAAAAAGAACCUGAAACCGUGUACGUACAAGCAGUGGGAGCACGCUUAGGCGUGUGACUGCGUACCUUUUGUAUAAUGGGUCAGCGACUUAUAUUCUGUAGCAAGGUUAACCGAAUAGGGGAGCCGAAGGGAAACCGAGUCUUAACUGGGCGUUAAGUUGCAGGGUAUAGACCCGAAACCCGGUGAUCUAGCCAUGGGCAGGUUGAAGGUUGGGUAACACUAACUGGAGGACCGAACCGACUAAUGUUGAAAAAUUAGCGGAUGACUUGUGGCUGGGGGUGAAAGGCCAAUCAAACCGGGAGAUAGCUGGUUCUCCCCGAAAGCUAUUUAGGUAGCGCCUCGUGAAUUCAUCUCCGGGGGUAGAGCACUGUUUCGGCAAGGGGGUCAUCCCGACUUACCAACCCGAUGCAAACUGCGAAUACCGGAGAAUGUUAUCACGGGAGACACACGGCGGGUGCUAACGUCCGUCGUGAAGAGGGAAACAACCCAGACCGCCAGCUAAGGUCCCAAAGUCAUGGUUAAGUGGGAAACGAUGUGGGAAGGCCCAGACAGCCAGGAUGUUGGCUUAGAAGCAGCCAUCAUUUAAAGAAAGCGUAAUAGCUCACUGGUCGAGUCGGCCUGCGCGGAAGAUGUAACGGGGCUAAACCAUGCACCGAAGCUGCGGCAGCGACGCUGAUGCGUUGUUGGGUAGGGGAGCGUUCUGUAAGCCUGUGAAGGUGUGCUGUGAGGCAUGCUGGAGGUAUCAGAAGUGCGAAUGCUGACAUAAGUAACGAUAAAGCGGGUGAAAAGCCCGCUCGCCGGAAGACCAAGGGUUCCUGUCCAACGUUAAUCGGGGCAGGGUGAGUCGACCCCUAAGGCGAGGCCGAAAGGCGUAGUCGAUGGGAAACAGGUUAAUAUUCCUGUACUUGGUGUUACUGCGAAGGGGGGACGGAGAAGGCUAUGUUGGCCGGGCGACGGUUGUCCCGGUUUAAGCGUGUAGGCUGGUUUUCCAGGCAAAUCCGGAAAAUCAAGGCUGAGGCGUGAUGACGAGGCACUACGGUGCUGAAGCAACAAAUGCCCUGCUUCCAGGAAAAGCCUCUAAGCAUCAGGUAACAUCAAAUCGUACCCCAAACCGACACAGGUGGUCAGGUAGAGAAUACCAAGGCGCUUGAGAGAACUCGGGUGAAGGAACUAGGCAAAAUGGUGCCGUAACUUCGGGAGAAGGCACGCUGAUAUGUAGGUGAAGCGACUUGCUCGUGGAGCUGAAAUCAGUCGAAGAUACCAGCUGGCUGCAACUGUUUAUUAAAAACACAGCACUGUGCAAACACGAAAGUGGACGUAUACGGUGUGACGCCUGCCCGGUGCCGG